rnacentral:tRNA from 1 species
UCUUUGUUAGUAUAUCGGUUAGUACACGCGCCUGUCAUUUAUGAACGUCCGCGCGAAAGCUGGGUUCGACUCCCAGACAGAGAG